AGGUGUUGUUGGGUAGGGGAGCGUUCUGUAAGCCUGCGAAGGUGGCCUGUGAGGGUUGCUGGAGGUAUCAGAAGUGCGAAUGCUGACAUAAGUAACGAUAAAGCGGGUGAAAAGCCCGCUCGCCGGAAGACCAAGGGUUCCUGUCCAACGUUAAUCGGGGCAGGGUGAGUCGACCCCUAAGGCGAGGCCGAAAGGCGUAGUCGAUGGGAAACGGGUUAAUAUUCCCGUACUUGGUGUUACUGCGAAGGGGGGACGGAGAAGGCUAUGUUGGCCGGGCGACGGUUGUCCCGGUUUAAGCGUGUAGGUGUGUGUUCCAGGUAAAUCCGGUUCACUUUAACACUGAGGCGUGAUGACGAGGCACUACGGUGCUGAAGCAACAAAUGCCCUGCUUCCAGGAAAAGCCUCUAAGCAUCAGGUAACAUCAAAUCGUACCCCAAACCGACACAGGUGGUCAGGUAGAGAAUACCAAGGCGCUUGAGAGAACUCGGGUGAAGGAACUAGGCAAAAUGGUGCCGUAACUUCGGGAGAAGGCACGCUGACACGUAGGUGAAGUGAUUUACUCAUGGAGCUGAAGUCAGUCGAAGAUACCAGCUGGCUGCAACUGUUUAUUAAAAACACAGCACUGUGCAAACACGAAAGUGGACGUAUACGGUGUGACGCCUGCCCGGUGCCGGAAGGUUAAUUGAUGGGGUCAGCGCAAGCGAAGCUCCUGAUCGAAGCCCCGGUAAACGGCGGCCGUAACUAUAACGGUCCUAAGGUAGCGAAAUUCCUUGUCGGGUAAGUUCCGACCUGCACGAAUGGCGUAAUGAUGGCCAGGCUGUCUCCACCCGAGACUCAGUGAAAUUGAACUCGCUGUGAAGAUGCAGUGUACCCGCGGCAAGACGGAAAGACCCCGUGAACCUUUACUAUAGCUUGACACUGAACAUUGAGCCUUGAUGUGUAGGAUAGGUGGGAGGCUUUGAAGUGUGGACGCCAGUCUGCAUGGAGCCGGCCUUGAAAUACCACCCUUUAAUGUUUGAUGUUCUAACGUGGACCCGUGAUCCGGGUUGCGGACAGUGUCUGGUGGGUAGUUUGACUGGGGCGGUCUCCUCCUAAAGAGUAACGGAGGAGCACGAAGGUUGGCUAAUCCUGGUCGGACAUCAGGAGGUUAGUGCAAUGGCAUAAGCCAGCUUGACUGCGAGCGUGACGGCGCGAGCAGGUGCGAAAGCAGGUCAUAGUGAUCCGGUGGUUCUGAAUGGAAGGGCCAUCGCUCAACGGAUAAAAGGUACUCCGGGGAUAACAGGCUGAUACCGCCCAAGAGUUCAUAUCGACGGCGGUGUUUGGCACCUCGAUGUCGGCUCAUCACAUCCUGGGGCUGAAGUAGGUCCCAAGGGUAUGGCUGUUCGCCAUUUAAAGUGGUACGCGAGCUGGGUUUAGAACGUCGUGAGACAGUUCGGUCCCUAUCUGCCGUGGGCGCUGGAGAACUGAGGGGGGCUGCUCCUAGUACGAGAGGACCGGAGUGGACGCAUCACUGGUGUUCGGGUUGUCAUGCCAAUGGCACUGCCCGGUAGCUAAAUGCGGAAGAGAUAAGUGCUGAAAGCAUCUAAGCACGAAACUUGCCCCGAGAUGAGUUCUCCCUGAGACUUAGAGUCUCCUGAAGGA
rnacentral:rRNA from 1 species